UACGUAGGGGGCCAGCGUUGUCCGGAAUCAUUGGGCGUAAAGCGCGCGUAGGCGGCCAGAUAAGUCCGGUGUGAAAGUCAAAGGCUCAACCUUUGAAUGCCGCUGGAAACUGCCUGGCUUGAGUCCGGAAGGGGCGAGUGGAAUUCCUGGUGUAGCGGUGAAAUGCGCAGAUAUCAGGAGGAACACCAUGGCGAAGGCAGCUCGCUGGAACGGUACUGACGCUGAGGCGCGAAAGCGUGGGGAGCGAACAGG
rnacentral:rRNA from 1 species